rnacentral:rRNA from 2 species
GACGGGCGGCAUGCUAUACAUGCAGUCGAGCGGACAGAAGGGAGCUUGCUCCCGGAUGUUAGCGGCGGACGGGUGAGUAACACGUGGGUAACCUGCCUGUAAGACUGGGAUAACUCCGGGAAACCGGAGCUAAUACCGGAUAGUUCCUUGAACCGCAUGGUUCAAGGAUGAAAGACGGUUUCGGCUGUCACUUACAGAUGGACCCGCGGCGCAUUAGCUAGUUGGUGGGGUAAUGGCUCACCAAGGCGACGAUGCGUAGCCGACCUGAGAGGGUGAUCGGCCACACUGGGACUGAGACACGGCCCAGACUCCUACGGGAGGCAGCAGUAGGGAAUCUUCCGCAAUGGACGAAAGUCUGACGGAGCAACGCCGCGUGAGUGAUGAAGGUUUUCGGAUCGUAAAGCUCUGUUGUUAGGGAAGAACAAGUGCGAGAGUAACUGCUCGCACCUUGACGGUACCUAACCAGAAAGCCACGGCUAACUACGUGCCAGCAGCCGCGGUAAUACGUAGGUGGCAAGCGUUGUCCGGAAUUAUUGGGCGUAAAGGGCUCGCAGGCGGUUUCUUAAGUCUGAUGUGAAAGCCCCCGGCUCAACCGGGGAGGGUCAUUGGAAACUGGGAAACUUGAGUGCAGAAGAGGAGAGUGGAAUUCCACGUGUAGCGGUGAAAUGCGUAGAGAUGUGGAGGAACACCAGUGGCGAAGGCGACUCUCUGGUCUGUAACUGACGCUGAGGAGCGAAAGCGUGGGGAGCGAACAGGAUUAGAUACCCUGGUAGUCCACGCCGUAAACGAUGAGUGCUAAGUGUUAGGGGGUUUCCGCCCCUUAGUGCUGCAGCUAACGCAUUAAGCACUCCGCCUGGGGAGUACGGUCGCAAGACUGAAACUCAAAGGAAUUGACGGGGGCCCGCACAAGCGGUGGAGCAUGUGGUUUAAUUCGAAGCAACGCGAAGAACCUUACCAGGUCUUGACAUCCUCUGACAACCCUAGAGAUAGGGCUUUCCCUUCGGGGACAGAAUGACAGGUGGUGCAUGGUUGUCCUCAGCUC